rnacentral:rRNA from 1 species
GACGAACGCUGGCGGCGUGCUUAACACAUGCAAGUCGAACGGAAAGGCCCUGCUUUUGUGGGGUGCUCGAGUGGCGAACGGGUGAGUAACACGUGAGUAACCUGCCCUUGACUUUGGGAUAACUUCAGGAAACUGGGGCUAAUACCGGAUAGGAGCUCCUGCUGCAUGGUGGGGGUUGGAAAGUUUCGGCGGUUGGGGAUGGACUCGCGGCUUAUCAGCUUGUUGGUGGGGUAGUGGCUUACCAAGGCUAUGACGGGUAGCCGGCCUGCGAGGGUGACCGGCCACAUUGGGACUGAGAUACGGCCCAGACUCCUACGGGAGGCAGCAGUGGAGAGUAUAGCACAAUGGGAGGAAGCCUGAUGCAGCAACGCCGCGUGCGGGAUGACGGCCUUCGGGUUGUAAACCGCUUUCGCCUGUGACGAAGCGUGAGUGACGGUAAUGGGUAAAGAAGCACCGGCUAACUACGUG